rnacentral:rRNA from 1 species
AUUGAACGCUGGCGGCAUGCCUUACACAUGCAAGUCGAACGGUAACAGGUCUUCGGAUGCUGACGAGUGGCGAACGGGUGAGUAAUACAUCGGAACGUGCCCGAUCGUGGGGGAUAACGGAGCGAAAGCUUUGCUAAUACCGCAUACGAUCUACGGAUGAAAGCAGGGGACCGCAAGGCCUUGCGCGGACGGAGCGGCCGAUGGCAGAUUAGGUAGUUGGUGGGAUAAAAGCUUACCAAGCCGACGAUCUGUAGCUGGUCUGAGAGGACGACCAGCCACACUGGGACUGAGACACGGCCCAGACUCCUACGGGAGGCAGCAGUGGGGAAUUUUGGACAAUGGGCGCAAGCCUGAUCCAGCCAUGCCGCGUGCAGGAUGAAGGCCUUCGGGUUGUAAAGCUCUUUUGUCCGGAAGAAAGCGCCGGGUUAAUACCCUGGUGUCCUGACGGUACGGAAGAAUAAGCACCGGCUAACUUCGUGCCAGCAGCCGCGGUAA